GAUGAAGAACGCAGCGAAAUGCGAUACUUGGUGUGAAUUGCAGAAUCCCGUGAGCCAUCGAGUCUUUGAACGCAAGUUGCGCCCGAAGCCAUUAGGCCGAGGGCACGCCUGCCUGGGCGUCACACGUCGUUGCCCCCCCAUCUACUCCUUCGGGAUUGCGGGGGGCGGAUGAUGGCCUCCCGUGCGCCUCGUCGCGCGGUUGGCAUAAAUGCCAAGUCCUCGGCGACGCACGCCACGACAAUCGGUGGUUGCGAAACCUCGGUUGCCCGUCGUGUGCGGUCGUCGCGCAUCGAGGGCUCGAAAAAAUUGCCGGGCUCCGGCUCGGCUUUCAACGCGACCCCAGGUCAGGCGGGGUUACCCGCUGAAUUUAAGCAUAUCAAUAAGCGGAGGA
rnacentral:misc_RNA from 1 species